rnacentral:lncRNA from 1 species
AAGAACGGGAACCUGGAUCGCAUUGUCUGCGUGCUGCUCGAGCUGAGCUCCCCCUGGUGCGAAAAGGGAGCGAAGGACACUCCGGGCGCAGCCCUCGAAGACGGAACUGGUGGAACCGAGGACGCGCUCCGGGAGGCCGCAGCUCUGCCUUGCAGGAGUCCCACUUGCAAGCUGUUCGCCAAAAGAAAGAAAGAAGAAAAAAGGCGGCCUCCAGAGCAGAGUCCUGACUCUCAGUUUUACAGCGGCUGGUGAUCUCGGCAUCCUUACAUCACCCUCUUGACUCCCAGUAUAUGACGCUGCAUAAAGAGAGAACAAAGAAUAGAAAAUGAACCAACAAGAAUAACUUACUGUUAAUUCUUUCUAUCGGUGCCAAAUACCUACCGGUAACGAAAUCACCGAUGUUGCUUUCCAUUUUAGGUCACAAGCUUUGAUGAAUAAAAGUCAAA